rnacentral:rRNA from 1 species
AUUGAACGCUGGCGGCAUGCCUAACACAUGCAAGUCGAACGAGGGUAGCAAUACCUUAGUGGCGGACGGGUGAGGAAUACGUAGGAAUUUGCCCUUAAGUGGGGGAUAGCCCGGGGGAACCCGGAUUAAUACCGCAUGAACUCGAGAGAGCAAAGUCGGGGACCUUCGGGCCUGGCGCUUUUGGAGAAGCCUACGUCGGAUUAGCUAGUUGGUGAGGUAAUGGCUCACCAAGGCUGCGAUCCGUAACUGGUCUGAGAGGAUGAUCAGUCACACCGGAACUGAGACACGGUCCGGACUCCUACGGGAGGCAGCAGUGGGGAAUAUUGGACAAUGGGCGAAAGCCUGAUCCAGCAAUGCCGCGUGUGUGAAGAAGGCCUUCGGGUUGUAAAGCACUUUAGGCUGGAAAGAAAAAGUUUUGGCUAAUAUCCAAAGCCUUGACGGUACCAGCAGAAUAAGCACCGGCUAACUCUGUGCCAGCCGCCGCCGUAAGAC